rnacentral:rRNA from 1 species
UNUGACUUGAGUGCAGAAGGGGAGAGUGGAAUNCCAUGUGUAGCGGUGAAAUGCGUAGAUAUAUGGAGGAACACCAGUGGCGAAAGCGGCUCUCUGGUCUGUCACUGACGCUGAGGCUCGAAAGCGUGGGUAGCGAACAGGAUUAGAUACCCUGGUAGUNCACGCCGUAAACGAUGAGUGCUAGGUGUUAGGCCCUUUCCGGGGCUUAGUGCCGGAGCUAACGCAAUAAGCACUCCGCCUGGGGAGUACGACCGCAAGGUUGAAACUCAAAGGAAUUGACGGGGGCCCGCACAAGCGGUGGAGCAUGUGGUUUAAUUCGAAGCAACGCGAAGANCCUUACCAGGUCUUGACAUCCCGAUGCUAUUCUUAGAGAUAGGAAGUUACUUCGGUACAUCGGAGACAGGUGGUGCAUGGUUGUCGUCAGCUCGUGUCGUGAGAUGUUGGGUUAAGUCCCGCAACGAGCGCAACCCUUAUUGUUAGUUGCCAUCAUUAAGUUGGGCACUCUAGCGAGACUGCCGGUAAUAAACCGGAGGAAGGUGGGGAUGACGUCAAAUCAUCAUGCCCCUUAUGACCUGGGCUACACACGUGCUACAAUGGUCGGUACAACGAGUUGCGAGCCGGUGACGGCAAGCUAAUCUCUGAAAGCCGAUCUCAGUUCGGAUUGGAGGCUGCAACUCGCCUCCAUGAAGUCGGAAUCGCUAGUAAUCGCGGAUCAGCACGCCGCGGUGAAUACGUUCCCGGGCCUUGUACACACCGCCCGUCACACCACGAGAGUUUGUAACACC